rnacentral:rRNA from 1 species
CAGCAGCCACGGGAAUACGAAGGGUGCAAGCGUUAAUCGGAAUUACUGGGCGUAAAGCGUGCGUAGGCGGUGAGUUAAGUCUGCUGUGAAAUCCCCGGGCUCAACCUGGGAAUGGCAGUGGAUACUGGCUCGCUAGAGUGUGUCAGAGGAUGGUGGAAUUCCCGGUGUAGCGGUGAAAUGCGUAGAGAUCGGGAGGAACAUCAGUGGCGAAGGCGGCCAUCUGGGACAACACUGACGCUGAGGCACGAAAGCGUGGGGAGCAAACAGGAUUAGAUACCCCAGUAGUCCCUGUCUCUUAUAA